ACGAACGCUGGCGGCGUGCUUAACACAUGCAAGUCGAACGGUGAAGCGCCUUCCUUUUUGGUGGGUGUGGAUGAGUGGCGAACGGGUGAGUAACACGUGAGUAACCUGCCCCCUUCUUCUGGAUAACCGCAUGAAAGUGUGGCUAAUACGGGAUAUUCUGUGUCUGUCGCAUGAUGGGUCUGGGAAAGAUAUUGUUUCGGUGGGGGAUGGGCUCGCGGCCUAUCAGCUUGUUGGUGGGGUGAUGGCCUACCAAGGCGGUGACGGGUAGCCGGCCUGAGAGGGUGGACGGUCACACUGGGACUGAGACACGGCCCAGACUCCUACGGGAGGCAGCAGUGGGGAAUAUUGCACAAUGGGCGCAAGCCUGAUGCAGCGACGCCGCGUGAGGGAUGGAGGCCUUCGGGUUGUGAACCUCUUUCGCCAGUGAAGCAGGCCUGCCUCGUUUGUGGGUGGGUUGACGGUAGCUGGAUAAGAAGCGCCGGCUAACUACGUG
rnacentral:rRNA from 1 species